AUAGACUGCAAGCAGAGCUGGCGCUCCCAUAAGGCGGCCGAGGCAGCCGCCUUAGGGAGCACCGGCCAAGGGGGCUCAGUCUCUGGGUGACUGGAAGGAGGAAAUCGCCCUUCGCAUGACUACCUUCCAGAUGGUCACUGCAUGUUUACCUUGGCCGAGCGGGCAGAAUGCUACUUACCCGGUCUGACAGGAAAUACAACAAACUGCUUCACCAGGAUACCGAAACCUCUGUCGCAAACCUCGAGCUUAGCCACAUGGAGG